GACGAACGCUGGCGGCGUGCUUAACACAUGCAAGUCGAACGGAAAGGCCCUGCUUUUGUGGGGUGCUCGAGUGGCGAACGUGUGAGUAACACGUGAGUAACCUGCCCUUGACUUUGGGAUAACUUCAGGAAACUGGUGCUAAUACCUGAUAUGAGCUCCUGCUGCAUGGUGGUGGUUGGAAAGUUUCGGCGGUUGGGGAUGGACUCGCGGCUUAUCAGCUUGUUGGUGGGGUAGUGGCUUACCAAGGCUUUGACGGGUAGCCGGCCUGAGAGGGUGACCGGCCACAUUGGGACUGAGAUACGGCCCAGACUCCUACGGGAGGCAGCAGUGGGGAAUAUUGCACAAUGGGCGGAAGCCUGAUGCAGCAACGCCGCGUGCGGGAUGACGGACUUCGGGUUGUAAACCGCUUUCGCCUGUGACGAAGCGUGAGUGACGGUAAUGGGUAAAGAAGCACCGGCUAACUACGUG
rnacentral:rRNA from 1 species